CAGUGCUAGGCAUGGAGGGGAAGCUGCAAAGUUAGAUGAGCUUAUAAGCAGAAUUUAGUCAGAGAGACCCAUACCUAACUCUAAUGCUAACCACGUGUUAAAACACUUUGGAGAAUUUCAGGUCUUUUAUCUUUUUCUUCAAAAACUGAAGAUGUGGCAGUUAGUUUUGGGGCUGGAAAUUUGAGCAGAGAGAAUGGCAGAGUCUUUUCAGGAGCCAGAAAUGCAUGUGAGGACCAAGAACUUCUAACAGUAGAGGAACUCUGGCUGGGGUAGUUGAGGGGGAGGAGAAAUGAGGAUCAAGGGGGCAUACAGUGCAUGAAAACAAAAGGUGAGGCCCAAGAUCAGCCAAAGUGAGUAAACCACGGUUACCAUGGCUACUCUUCAGUGGAGACGGAAGGAAGCCCUGUAUCCUCCCCUUCCAACCACACUACGCUGUUCCACUCCCCAUCUCCAUCUCCUGUACCCCAGACACACUCAGGCAAGCACAGCACCACCCUGGAUGACUCUGCGGAAUGCCUCUCAGAGACACGGAACUAGAAACCUAGGGGAAGAGGGACAUCAAGGCUUUUGCCUCACAAGCUGACUCUGGAACAAAGAGCCAGGCUGAGGGGCUGGAAGAAGAAACUUCCAGCAGAGCCACCCAGAUAUGCUUCCCCCACCCUCUAGACCUUCCACACCAACCAGUGUCCAGUCAGUCCACAGAGCAUCCUCCUGGGCUGUGGUGACUGAAGUUGAAGGGAAGAAAAUAUAAUAAUAAUUUUGGGCAGGUCGUCUUUCUUUACUGUAUUGGAUGGAUAUAGAAUCAAUAAAUCUAUAGGUUUAUCCCAUUUUUCUGAACAAAUUUAGAGGUCAAAGAUGAACCCUCAAGGGGACAGAAUAUGACCAGCAGGACUAUUGAUAUCGUCUGCCCUAGGCACUCCUCCUUACCCUCCUCUCCCCUAUAUUUUGGGGGCAGUCAUAUUCCUCAGCAGUCAGUUGCUCUGCCUCCAGUCCUAACUGGCUUCUGAAAAACAGUUCUGGUCCAUUCAUUCCCUGUCUCGAGACUUCCGGAGCUUCCUGACCUGUGAAUGAAAUCCACAGGCCCAUCACAAGAUGGCUGCGCUCUCCAGUCCCCGGCACCCCAGGCUGCUCUGAACAUGUGAGAGCUCCUCCCUCAAGGCCUGAAUUUUCGCAGGUCUUCAUCACACUCAGCCCGCCAUCAUUUUUUCAGAUUCAGUUCCAAUAUGUCACUCUGUCUGUAGAGCCUUCCCUGAAUCUCACAGACAAAUGCGGCAGUUCCCUUUGUGGGGGAUAUUCAUCAUGUUUUUCCUCAUUGGCCUAUGUUUUUGCCUCUUCUUGUAGAUGUCCAUCUAGGCUGGGAGCUCCUAGGGGGUAAACGCAGCCUCUCACUCACCUGGCACAGAGUCGAUGCUCAUGGAAUGAUACGUGAUGGGGAGAGUGAGUAAGUGAAUGAAUGAAUGAAUGCUAUUCUGGAAGGAAGAGGGAGAGAGGGAGCAGGGAAAGGUCAGAAGGGGGCCCAGAGUCUUCAGCACACAAUGUGGGUGUAUCACUGUGGCCAGGAACAAUUCGCUUCUCUGCCUGCAUUACUUUUUGGGAAAUGGGAGAGCUGAGGCUCAGUGUAGGCAAACUGGGUCCAGUCAGCAGGGAAGCCAUGAGCUCCACGGUUUAGGGGAGGAGUCCGGUGCUUAAGGAAGCUAUCACGUGGAAGAUCUCCCUGCCCUCCUCCUAUUGGUCUGUAUUGGUUUUUCUUCUUCACCAGUGGAGGCUUUUCUUCUCCCAGGAAGAAUCCAGAAUAGUUCAGACAAGCUUCAGGUCCGCCAGAACCGGGGAAAACAACGUGUAGGGUUUGUUUUAAAGGGCUUUUAAAUGGGGUUUGGGAGAUCCAGGUAGAUUAGAAUCUUGACUCUGCACUGGCUGUGCAAGACAGAAAUUCACCUUUCAAAACUUCUGUUCCCCAGUCUAUGCGGUAAGAAGUUUAGAUUAGCUGAUUUCUAGGGAGAUUUUGGGCAGGCAUGAUUCAGUUCCAUGAAGGGCUGUGGGACAGGACUGCACUAAGAGGUCCUAUAGAUUGGAUUCUUCAGUUCCCUCCCUUCCGCUGGAGAAUAGAGGAAUCUGCCUUCGCUGCACACUAGAUUUACCUGGAGAACAAAUGGAAAGCAGGCCAGGAUCCUGGGUGAAAUGUGGCACAUUUGAGGAGACUUCAACUUCCCUUGCCCUCCAGCCGCCCUCUUUAAAGUUACUAAUGAGCUUGCCUUCUCUUUCCUUAAUUUCCCCUCGCAGUGUGGUCUUUUCCCCACCCCCAGACAUGAAAGGGAAGCAGGUCACAAAGCCUUUCGGAUUAUAAAAGAAACACUUGCUUCUCACAAGGGGAGCAGCAGACUUACUCUGUACUAAAUGCCAGGAUAAGCCUCUGGCUGGGCCUCGACUGUGACCCUCCGGCCUCUUUCUACAGCUCUGCCUGGAUGGACUGGCCUAUCUCUGCUGGAUUCCCGAAGUGCAUUGUGUAGAGACAGCAACUCAGGUCAGGCUAAAAGCUCAAGCAAGCAAGCGCGCACACACACGCGCGCACACACACACACACACACACAAACACUCAGCUUCCUUAGGACAAGAUAAAAUCUUAGCAUUCCCCUCUCCCCGAUUAGGUAGGUCUCUGGGAGGACUAAGGCUUCAGGUGCAAGGCUCAGAUAACCUGCAGUGUCUCUCCAACUCUGGGAUGACAAAGACCUCACUUCCCUUUUCUGGUGUUCACACAACAAUGAGAAAGUACGGGUAGCCUGCAGAAAGACCUCUCCAUUCAUGGUCCCCCAGGGGUGUGGGUUCUGAGAGGUGGGACCAGCUGCCAGGCCCUUUCUCCAUUGGUUGAGUUCAGCAGGUAACCUGAAGCUUUGCUGAGAGGUGCAUAAAUAAAGAGUGAAACUAGUACCACCUCCUUGAAAUGGGCUGAGUCCCUCUUGCUCACCCUUGACUUGGAAAAACCAGUUUCUCUUUUAUUGUCUGUUACUAAUCUCUAUUCUAAAAAUUCAGCUCAAUUCUCAACCAUACUCCAAACUCUCUCUUUUCCAGCUACCUUUACUCCCUCUCCUUCAAUUCCACUUUCCUCUGCUUACUUUUUUUUUUUUUCUGACAGGGUCUCACUUUGUCGCCCGGGCAGGAGUGCAGUGGCUCAAUCUUGGGCUCACUGCAGCCUCAACCUCCCAGAGGCGGGGUUUCACCAUGUUGCCCAGACUGGUCUUGAACUCCUGAGCUUAAGCAAUCCACCUGCCUCGGCCUCCCAAAGUGUUGGGAUCACAGGCGUGAGCCACCGCAUCCGGCCUCAUGUUCUUUUUCAUUAAAGAGAGAAAUCAACUAUUCAGGACCGGCCCCCACCUUUCCUCAGGAGUCAUUUCUGUUCCGCACAGGCCUGCUGAACUGGGUGCUUUAUAUAGGACACUGUCAUCUCUCAAGUACCCAUCUUGGAGGGUACGGACCCCACAUGAGGGUGAGGCUCUCUGCACACUCCAGAAAAGGACCAACCACACCGAGCUCAGUUAUGGCACACACAGUGGGACCUAGACAAAGGGAGAGGGUGACCGACAUCCCAACUAGAUUUCAGUGGAGUGAAGUUCAGGAGGCAUGGAGCUGACAACCAUGAGGCCUCGGCAGCCACCGCCACCACCGCCGCCGCCACCACCGUAGCAGCAGCAGCAGCAGCAGCAGCAGCAGCAGCAGCAGCAAGAGUAACUCUGACUUAGGAAUAGAGACAGCCAGAGAGAAAUGUGAUCAAUGAAGGAGACAUCUGGAGUGUGCGUGCUUCUUCAGAGGGACGGGUGAUGGGCAGAUUGGAAAAAGCACCGCAGAUGGGAACCUUAAUCUUUCUUUUCUAAAAUUGAUGCUAUGAAAAUUUGCGUUUUCUGUAACUUGUAAAAACUAAAAGUUGCUUGUCUACUGAAAAGCCUCUCUGCCUCUAUGUUUUAUACCAUCGGAUGCCAACUCCCGGCCUUCUAAGCCACCUCCCCUUUAGGCUAAAACUGAGACAUGAACUUGAAAAAUUGACACUGGCUUCCUCUCUCUUUAGGGUCCCCAGGCAGGUGGCUGGGACACUAUUUGCAAUCAGCAAGGAACCCUGCUGCCCUUAGACUCCCCACAGAGCAAGCAGAACUUGCAGAAUGGGGUAAAAACACUCUAUUAAAGAUUUUUUAAACCUAUUUAUAUUGUAAUAAAGUAAAUGUAAAUAAAAUUUAAGUGAAGGCAGAUUGCAGAUAUUUCCGAUGCUAUACAAGAUAUAUCUCAUAGUAUGGGUGUAGAUUCUGCAAAGGUUAAUGCAGUUAAACAUAUUUGACACAUAAAAAUGUCAGAUCCAACAUUAAUCAUUCACCAAUUGUAAUUGCCUUUCUAUGGGUCUCUUCUCCCCAAGACAUAGCUUAAAACACCAGGCUCGGUAGAAAUCUGGGAGGAAAAAAGCAAAUAAUACCUCUCAGCUGUCAGGGUCUAUGAUACGCUUUGAUAGAUUUAGCACUGAUUUCAUUCUCUUUACAAUUCAGUGUGAUUGGGUGUGCGUGUGUGUGUGUGUGUGUGUGUGUGUGUGUGUGUGUGUUACUCCAUGUUUCUCCUUUUUAAGGAAGGAGAAGGUGUGGAACAAGAGAAAGUUCCUAAGUCUGAAGGAAGUCCAACCCAGUUAUGAAGGGAAUGCCAUCCACAAGCCUUUUUUAUAAUUGGCCCCUGCCUCAGGUAAAGGGGUCUCCUUUAAGGAGCCAGUCUGGCUAAAUUGGCAGAUUCUGAACAAAGCCUGGCCCUGACAAGUCUUCAGAAAAACCGGUUUUCACCUCCAGAAUGUGCCCCAG
rnacentral:lncRNA from 1 species